rnacentral:misc_RNA from 1 species
GCAAACUUGGUCAUUUAGAGGAAGUAAAAGUCGUAACAAGGUUUCCGUAGGUGAACCUGCGGAAGGAUCAUUACUGAGUAAUUGGGUCUCUAAGGCCCAUACUCCCACCCUUUGUUUACUUUACCAAUUCUUCAGUUGCCUUGGUAGGGAAUCCAAACCCUCUAACGAGGAGGCGGGGACCUACCAGGGGGACUUCUCUUAAACUCUUUAUGAAUUGAGUCGUCUGAGAACAAAACAAAAUGAAUUAAAACUUUCAACAACGGAUCUCUUGGUUCUGGCAUCGAUGAAGAACGCAGC